rnacentral:rRNA from 2 species
AAAACUUUCAACAACGGAUCUCUUGGUUCUGGCAUCGAUGAAGAACGCAGCGAAAUGCGAUAAGUAAUGUGAAUUGCAGAAUUCAGUGAAUCAUCGAAUCUUUGAACGCACAUUGCGCCCCUUGGUAAUCCGGGGGGCAUGCCUGUUCGAGCGUCAUUA